CAGCACCCCCACAGUUGGUGCAAGAGCUGAAGACCAAGAUGAAAAGUUCUGGGAUGCCUUGGCCUGGUGAUGAAGGUGAACAGCGAUGGGAGCAAGCAUGGAUGGCUAUAAAGAAGGUCUGGGCUUCAAAGUGGAACGAGAGAGCGUACCUCAGCACAAGGAAAGUGAAGUUAGACCAUGAUUACCUCUGCAUGGCUGUCCUGGUUCAGGAGAUAAUAAAUGCUGAUUAUGCAUUUGUUAUCCACACAAUCAAUCCAUCUUCGGGGGACUCAUCAGAGAUAUAUGCUGAGGUAGUGAAGGGACUUGGAGAAACUCUAGUUGGAGCCUACCCUGGCCGCGCUUUGAGUUUUAUCUGCAAGAAAAAAGAUCUGAAUUCUCCUCAGGUGUUGGGUUAUCCAAGCAAAUCCAGUGGCCUCUUUAUAAGACGUUCUAUUAUCUUCAGAUCUGACUCUAAUGGUGAAGAUCUGGAAGGUUAUGCUGGUGCUGGCCUUUAUGAUAGUGUUCCAAUGGAUGAAGAAGAGAAAGUUGUGCUUGAUUACUCAUCUGAUCGAUUGAUCACCGAUGAAAACUUCCAAAAAUCAAUCCUCUCUAACAUUGCUCGCGCAGGAAGUGCAAUUGAAGAG
rnacentral:misc_RNA from 1 species